GGGAAGUAACGGUCGCUCUGUCUCGUCUGGGAAGAUCUCCGUUGCCAGGGCUUGCUGGACCCGCCCCCGCACAGCUUCCCAGCAGUCCCGAUUCCGCCUGAGGCUCCAGAAGGCGAAGCUGUACAGGAGGCCACUUUUCUUCUCAGCCUAGAACUCGAGAGACCUGAAAGGAAGGACGACUGGCCACAGGAGAUGUUUCACAGAGCCGCUGAAUGAACAACACAGUCAAUUCUGAUCAACUUUCCAGUGCUAUCUGGGUGUAAGUGAGUGGCCCUGGAGGUGGGUGCCUCUCCCCGGCGCAGUUUUUCCUUCCAUCACAAGCAUGGCUGAAGCUGGGUGGUGGUGCAUACAGAUUCCAGCCAGCAAGGAGGGGAAAGAGAGUUCAGAGGACUCACCUCCACUGUCCCCGACCCAGGCCUGUAGCAUCUAUAUUGGCUCCUCUCAGGUUCCACAGGUAAGAACCACAUCACCUGUUUACACCUAGCUGCCAGGGAGGCUGGGAAAGGCUGGUUAGCUGGAUGCUCAUAGCCUGACUAUAACUCUAUUUCUGUGGAAGGAAGAAGAGUGGCUGCUGUUAAACAGCCUGGGGUCUCUGCACUGUACACCAAAAUGCUCAAGUCUGUGACUAUGGGGUAACCACUGCUUUCAGUUUGCUCUGAAGCCUUCUACACAUUUCUCUGGGCAUUUAAGUGUCAUAUAUGUACUCACAAGGGGUGAGGGAUAGUAUUUUUUUGAGGACUGCUUUUUUUUCCAUUUACAG
rnacentral:lncRNA from 1 species